CGGCGCGGACGGAAGCCUCAGGU
rnacentral:piRNA from 1 species